CCGUGCAACUUGCUGAAAGUUUAGACGUUCACAUUCUGUUCCAAGCACCAUCCGACAUCCUCCUGAGCUGGCAGAAAGUUAUAUAUUUGCUCCAGGACAUUUCGAAAUUGGACCUGCAUAGUGUAGCAUGGCGAUCCUCUCAGAGAUGGUAUGACCUAACGCAAGCGUUUCCCCAGUGACGUCAGGGGACAGUCCUGUUUCUCUGCAGGACUAGAGCAGGUUUUGGCAUGUAAAUGGGGAUUCUUACCUCCAGGGAUGAAGGGAUUGUAAAGGACUGCAUGGGCUGCCUGGACUGCAUGGACUCAGGAUGAUGGGACUCUGGCUGGGG